GAUGAACGCUGGCGGCGUGCCUAAUACAUGCCAGUCGAGCGAACGGACGAGAAGCUUGCUUCUCUGAUGUCAGCGGCGGACGGGUGAGUAACACGUGGAUAACCUACCUAUAAGACUGGGAUAACUUCGGGAAACCGGAGCUAAUACCGGAUAAUAUUUUGAACCGCAUGGUUCAAAAGUAAAAGACGGUCUUGCUGUCACUUAUAGAUGGAUCCGCGCUGCAUUAGCUAGUUGGUAAGGUAACGGCUUACCAAGGCAACGAUGCAUAGCCGACCUGAGAGGGUGAUCGGCCACACUGGAACUGAGACACGGUCCAGACUCCUACGGGAGGCAGCAGUAGGGAAUCUUCCGCAAUGGGCGAAAGCCUGACGGAGCAACGCCGCGUGAGUGAUGAAGGUCUUCGGAUCGUAAAACUCUGUUAUUAGGGAAGAACAUAUGUGUAAGUAACUGUGCACAUCUUGACGGUACCUAAUCAGAAAGCCACGGCUAACUACGUG
rnacentral:rRNA from 1 species